AACACAUUUCGUCCUGUUGACUGUUGGGCUGCUUUGUGGAGUUUUACUGAUAAUUCUCCCGCUGCUGUUCCUGUAUCUCUACAGAAAAUCAAAAGAUUCAGUCUUCAUCAGAUCUCAGAGCACCAAUCAGGGCCCUGCUACAGACCACAUGAUCAACCAGGAUGAAAUUCAAAACAUGCCACAAUAUUCUACUCUCC